UACGGGGGGAGCAAGCGUUGUUCGGAUUUACUGGGCGUAAAGGGCGCGUAGGCGGCCACCGCAAGUCGGUUGUGAAAUCUCCGGGCUUGACCCGGAAAGGUCAAUCGAUACUGCGGGGCUAGAGUGCAGAAGGGGCAACUGGAAUUCUCGGUGUAGCGGUGAAAUGCGUAGAUAUCGAGAGGAACACCGAUGGCGAAGGCAGCUCGCUGGGACGGUACUGACGCUGAGGCGCGAAAGCGUGGGGAGCAAACAGG
rnacentral:rRNA from 1 species